GGGUGAAUUCCUUGUUGAGGUGAUUAAGCUGUUUUGUGAUGAUUCUAAGAGGAUGAUCUCAGAGCUGAGCAGCUUGAUAGAUCAGCCAGUUGUGGACUUCCAGAACGUGGGUUCUUUCGUUCAUCAGCUGAAAGGGAGCAGCUCAAGGUAAUUGUCUCCAAUCUGAAUGGAUUCAGUUGCUGAUACUUAUGGAAUACCAUAUAGAAUUUAGAGGUUUUUUCCUUCUCCUUUUUUUCUUCGACUUCCAUUGCAAUUUUCCCCAAAAAAAUCAUUUUAAUUAUGUAGCUUUUUUCGUUAAUGUUGAUGCUUAGCAUCUUGUGUUAUUAUGAUUUAAGUUCUUUAAGAUUGUUGAUAAUUGCCUUUAGAUAGAAUUGUUACCG